CCUACGGGCGACAGCAGUGGGGAAUAUUGCACAAUGGGGGAAACCCUGAUGCAGCGACGCCGCGUGAGUGAAGAAGUAUUUCGGUACGUAAAGCUCUAUCAGCAGGGAAGAAAAUGACGGUACCUGACUAAGAAGACCCGGCUAACUACGUGCCAGCAGCCGCGGUAAUACGUAGGGGGCAAGCGGUAUCCGGAUUUACUGGGUGUAAAGGGAGCGUAGACGGCAGCGCAAGUCUGGAGUGAAAUCCCAUGGCUUAACCAUGGAACUGCUUUGGAAACUGUGCAGCUAGAGUGCAGGAGAGGUAAGCGGAAUUCCUAGUGUAGCGGUGAAAUGCGUAGAUAUUAGGAGGAACACCAGUGGCGAAGGCGGCUUACUGGACUGUAACUGACGUUGAGGCUCGAAAGCGUGGGGAGCAAACAGGAUUAGAUACCCUUGUAGUC
rnacentral:rRNA from 1 species